UGUGGAUAACACACAUAGGAUCUUGCUGUUGAGGCAUGUAACCAGGCCCCAGCACAAAGGGGGCUCAGGAAAUGUUACGUGCUGCAAUGAUGACGAUGAAAUGUGUAGAAUUUUUUCACGGCAGUCUGAGGGCUGAGGGAGCAUGUAAGCCCUGGAGUGGGAGCAGGAUUCCAGGUUGAAGUCCAGCCUGGCACUGACUCAUUGUGACCCUAGGUCAGCCCCCUGCCCUCUCUGGCCCAGUCUCUGAAAGACCAAAGAAGGAGCUGGGUUCAAUCACCUCCUGGCUCUCCCCCUACUGUGUCCGUUACCUAGGACACCCAUACAGGGGGCCACCCUGGGAGCCAGGGCUCCACUCCAGAUGUGACAGAGGGCCAGGAUGGGGGCUCCAAGGGGUGAGAACUCUUUCAAACUCCCCUCCUCUGCUCCUCCUCCCAUUUCUUGUCUCUGUGCCCCCAUGUUGGGGCAUACCCUGGGCAAAGGUGGCAGGCAGAAGGACAGACCAGUGGACGACCCAGUCCAGUCCUGGUCAGCCCUCAGGAAAGAGGGAUGCUGACAGGGUGCCUGGCCUUUUCGAGGAGUCCCUCAGGCCUACAGAGUCAGGGAGGAGCCCACCAAGGAGACCAGCCUAGGAGAGAUAGAAGGAGGGUGGGCGGGCUCCAAACCUGCCUUGGCUCUUCCUGUUCACAUGGACAGAGGAAAGGGAGGUGCUGAGUCAGCCUCCAGCCCUCCCCCCACAUGGAUACAUGCAUGCAUGCAGGCAGGCCUACAGAUGGUAAGCCUGAGGGAGCCCAGAGAGACAAAGUGGCCCAGGCUUGGCCACAGAGGGGCUGGGUCCUGGGUUUGAAUCCGGCUGCCACCAUUUACUCGCUGUGCGGUCUUGGCUAGGAGGCUUCACACUGCUGAGCCUCGGUUUUCUCAUCUGUAGAGUGGGGGUGGUAAACCACUGUCUGCCUCAUAGCUGGUUGUGGAUGUCCAAGGGGCUGCUGGUGGCGUGUAGUUGGUGUUCAGUGACAGAGAGCCACUGGGGGUGCUUUCCCCAGCCUGCACUGCUGGACAGCAGGGACAACUGGACCACCUCUUUUUGAGGGUAGGGGUGGGACCAGGCCUGGAGAGGCCUGGGGCAAAGGGCAGGCUUGCAGGUUCCCACCUGCUUGGAUCUCGUGGCCUCGGUAAGCCCUGAGCACACGCAUAUACGGUUCUUUAAUAGCUCAUAUAGCAUGGCCAGCCCUGGGCAGCCUAGCUGAAGGAGGUGGGCCACAGGUGGCCGGUGAAGGCAGGGUUUGCAAUCAGGUGGAGGACUCUGAGCCAUGGCAGACAGCCGUGAAGGUACGGACAGACUCAGCCAAAGGCUGGCAGUGGGGAGGGUGGCAUACCAGUUUGAUCAGAGUGGCCUGGUGUGCGCUGGAUGAGGUGAGGGUGUCGAUGGAGAUGUGGA
rnacentral:lncRNA from 1 species